UUGCAGUUAAAAAGCUCGUAGUCGGAUUUCGGGGCGGGGCGACCGGUCUGCCGAUGGGUAUGCACUGGUCGGCGCGUCCUUCCUUCCGGAGACCGUGCCUACUCUUAACUGAGCGGGGGCGGGAGACGGAUCGUUUACUUUGGAAAAAUCAGAGUGUUUCAAGCAGGCGUCUCGCCUUUGCAUGGAUUAGCAUGGGAUAAUGAAAUAGGACUUUGGUGCUAUUUUGUUGGUUUCGAACACCGAAGUAAUGAUUAACAGGGACAGUCAGGGGCAUUCGUAUUCCGUCGAGAGAGGUGAAAUUCUCAGACCAAUGGAAGACGAACAACUGCGAAAGCAUUUGCCAGGGAUGUUUUCACUGAUCAAGAACGAAAGUUAGGGGAUCGAAGACGAUCAGAUACCGUCGCAGUCUUAACCAUAAACCAUGCCGACUAGGGAUCGGAGGAUGUUAGAUUUGACUCCUUCGGCACCUUACGGGAAACUAAAGUCUUUGGGUUCCGGGGGGAGUAUGGUCGCAAGGCCGAAACUUAAAGGAAUUGACGGAAGGGCACCACCAGGAGUGGAGCCUGCGGCUUAAUUUGACUCAACACGG
rnacentral:rRNA from 1 species